rnacentral:rRNA from 1 species
AUUGAACGCUGGCGGCAGGCCUAACACAUGCAAGUCGAAUGGUAACAGGAAACCGCUUGCUGUUUCGCUGACGAGUGGCGGACGGGUGAGUCAUGUCUGGGAAACUGCCUGAUGGAGGGGGAUAACUACUGGAAACGGUAGCUAAUACCGCAUAACGUCGCAAGACCAAAGAGGGGGACCUUCGGGCCUCUUGCCAUCAGAUGUGCCCAGAUGGGAUUAGCUAGUAGGUGGGGUAACGGCUCACCUAGGCGACGAUCCCUAGCUGGUCUGAGAGGAUGACCAGCCACACUGGAACUGAGACACGGUCCAGACUCCUACGGGAGGCAGCAGGGGGGAAUAUGGCACAAGGGGCGCAAGCCUGAUGCAGCCAGGCCGCGUGUAUGAAGAAGGCCUUCGGGUUGUAAAGUACUUUGAGCGGGGAGGAAGGGAGUAAAGUUAAUACCUUUGCUCAUUGACGUUACCCGCAGAAGAAGCACCGGCUAACUCCGU